rnacentral:rRNA from 1 species
UACAGAGGUCCCAAGCGUUGUUCGGAUUCACUGGGCGUAAAGGGUGCGUAGGCGGUCGGGUAAGUCUGAUGUGAAAUCUCACAGCUUAACUGUGAAACUGCAUUGGAUACUAUCCGGCUAGAGGAAUGGAGGGGAGACUGGAAUACUUGAUGUAGCAGUGAAAUGCGUAGAUAUCAAGUGGAACACCAGUGGCGAAGGCGAGUCUCUGGACAUUUCCUGACGCUGAGGCACGAAAGCCAGGGGAGCAAACGGG